UACAGAGGGGGCAAGCGUUGUUCGGAAUUACUGGGCGUAAAGGGCGCGUAGGCGGCCUGUUAAGUCGAACGUGAAAUCCCCGGGCUCAACCCGGGAACUGCGUCCGAUACUGGCAGGCUUGAAUUCGGGAGAGGGAUGUGGAAUUCCAGGUGUAGCGGUGAAAUGCGUAGAUAUCUGGAGGAACACCGGUGGCGAAGGCGGCAUCCUGGACCGAUAUUGACGCUGAUGCGCGAAAGCCAGGGGAGCAAAAGGG
rnacentral:rRNA from 1 species